rnacentral:lncRNA from 1 species
UCUCUUAUUUACAUCAACUACAGAAUAGCUUCCAACCAAAUAGCAAUUUGUUUUCAUCAAAAGUGAAAAAUUGUAACCCCGUUACAAUUACGACAUAUGCUUCAAAGGAAUUACGGAGUAGUCCGCAAAGAAGAGAAAAUGGCCACUAACAAUUCUUUUUGCAACAAAAAACAAGAAAAAAAAACAUACAACAUUAUUUUCAGUCCAAUCUAGCAGCAUUGUAUCAAUGUCAUCGAAGAGCUCUACAUUUUUUCUACUUUGUACCAACAAGGAAUCCGCCCGACAAAGGGUAGCGCUUCAUCUUGGUCAUUGUGCUCUAGACAUCAUUCAAUAUCUUUGAUGUGUGCCGAGCUACAAUUUUUUGCUGCAAAAAUGUAUGUAUAACAGAAACAUCAUUCAAACAUAGUGAAGCAUGGUCAGGAGUGGUUAAGAAAAAUAAUUUAUCACAAGAAUCAUAUGUUGAAAUGGUUGAUGCAUACAGUUGUCAAUCGAAAUCGUUGAAGCAAAAUAAUUCAUCACAAACAAUGCGCAAAUAACCGCAGCCACUUGAGAUUGUUUGUGGUAGUCUACAACAGAAACAUAUGUGAGAAAUACGGAUACAUGAUUGACAACUGUAUGUAUCGAACCCAUGUACAAUGUACGAAAAACAAAAUGCGUGGAUAGUACUUUUAAUCUGAUCCGGCUUGAAUCUAUAUAACAUAGAAAAUUUUAACAUGCAAUUCAUGAACCAGAAAUUCCAGAACGGACACAUCUCUAAGAAGCAUCCUAAUAUACAUGAAUACAGGGAGGAGAACCCUUACCUGCUUGUGUUGUGGAUGGUGAUCGGAGCAGUUCCGCUGGAUAGGAAACCAUGAAUCUAUAAGGAUGAAAGAGGAAACAAUUGCCUAUGCAUGGACAAGGCGAGCUACAACAGUAGCUCCAUAGCCUGUUACUCUACCUCGCCUCCUCGUUCACCUCUCUCGUUGACAGGUUCUCCUCGAUUAAAUUUUGAAACGAUGGGAAUGAAGAAGUGAAAU